GCAAGUUUUUAAGGGCGCACGGUGGAUGCCUUGGCAUCAGGAGCCGAUGAAGGACGCGGUAAUCUGCGAUAAGCCUCGGGGAGCUGAUAAACGAGCUGUGAUCCGAGGGUCUCCGAAUGGGGAAACCCCACUACGUGUUAUGCGUGGUGACCCGCACCUGAAUUCAUAGGGUGUGUGGAGGGAACGUGGGGAAGUGAAACAUCUCAGUACCCACAGGAAGAGAAAACAACAGUGAUUCCGUCAGUAGUGGCGAGCGAACGCGGAAGAGGCCAAACCGAUGGUGUGUGAUACCCGGCAGGGGUUGCAUCAUCGGGGUCGUGGGGCGUGUCGUCCCGGGUCUGCCGGCCCGGGCGUGUGAGUGCAGGGCGAUAGUCGAACCGGUGUGAGUGCCGGACCGGAGAGGGUGAGAGUCCCGUAGACGAAAUCGUUGCUGCCGCACGGUACGCGUACCCAAGUAGCACGGGGCCCGAGAAAUCCCGUGUGAAUCUGCCAGGACCACCUGGUAAGCCUAAAUACUACCUGAUGACCGAUAGCGGACUAGUACCGUGAGGGAAAGGUGAAAAGCACCCCGACGAGGGGAGUGAAACAGAUCCUGAAACCGGACGCCUACAAGCAGUCGGAGCCGCCUUGCGCGGUGACGGCGUACCUUUUGUAUAAUGGGUCAGCGACUUUGUCUCUCGAGCAAGCUUAAGCCGGUAGGUGUAGGCGCAGCGAAAGCGAGUCUGAAUAGGGCGACGAGUUCGAGGGAUAAGACCCGAAACCGAGUGAUCUAGCCAUGUGCAGGUUGAAGGUGCGGUAACACGCACUGGAGGACCGAACCCACGUCUGUUGAAAAAGACGGGGAUGACGUGUGGCUAGGGGUGAAAGGCCAAUCAAACUUCGUGAUAGCUGGUUCUCCCCGAAAUGCAUUUAGGUGCAGCGUUACGUGUUUCUUGCCGGAGGUAGAGCUACUGGAUGGCCGAUGGGCCCUACAAGGUUACUGACGUCAGCCAAACUCCGAAUGCCGGUAAGUGAGAGCGUAGCAGUGAGACUGUGGGGGAUAAGCUUCAUAGUCGAGAGGGAAACAGCCCAGACCACCAACUAAGGCCCCUAAGCGUGUGCUAAGUGGGAAAGGAUGUGGAGUUGCUUAGACAACCAGGAGGUUGGCUUAGAAGCAGCCACCCUUGAAAGAGUGCGUAAUAGCUCACUGGUCAAGUGAUUCCGCGCCGACAAUGUAGCGGGGCUCAAGUACACCGCCGAAGUUGUGGCAUUGCACCAAUGAUACCCAACCGGUCUUCGGACCGGUUCAGGUGGUGCGAUGGGUAGGGGAGCGUCGUGUGGGCAGUGAAGCUGCGGGGUGACCCAGUGGUGGAGCCCACACGAGUGAGAAUGCAGGCAUGAGUAGCGAAUGACGGGUGAGAAACCCGUCCGCCGGAUGAUCAAGGGUUCCAGGGUCAAGCUAAUCUGCCCUGGGUCAGUCGGGACCUAAGGCGAGGCCGACAGGCGUAGUCGAUGGACAACGGGUUGAUAUUCCCGUACCGGCGUAUGAACGAUCAUGCCGAGGCGAACGAUGCUGAGCUCGCAAGUUGCGUGGCGACCUUCGGGUCAAUACGUGAUGAGCCUGCGACCCAGAUUCGUAUUAGGCAAGCUGCGGAGUGACGCAGGAAGGUAGCCCAUCCCGGGCGAUGGUAGUCCCGGGCUAAAUGUGUAGGGUCAGGUGUAGGCAAAUCCGCAUCUGGUGUGCCUGAGACAUGAUGGCUGGACGAUCUACGGAUCGUCGAGUGGGUGAUCCUAUGCUGCCUAGAAAACCUUCGUGAGCGAGUUCAUGAGCCGCCCGUACCCUAAACCGACACAGGUGGUCAGGUAGAGAAUACCAAGGCGCUUGAGAGAACUCGGGUGAAGGAACUAGGCAAAAUGGUACCGUAACUUCGGGAGAAGGUACGCCCCUGGUAUGUGUAAGGACUUGCUCCUGAAGCAGAAGGGGGUUGCAGUGACCAGUUGGCUGCGACUGUUUAGCAAAAACACAGCACUCUGCAAACUCGUAAGAGGACGUAUAGGGUGUGACGCCUGCCCGGUGCCGGAAGGUUAAAAGGAGGGGUGAGAGCUCCGAAUUGAAGCCCCGGUAAACGGCGGCCGUAACUAUAACGGUCCUAAGGUAGCGAAAUUCCUUG
rnacentral:rRNA from 1 species